GAUGAACGCUGGCGGCGUGCCUAAUACAUGCAAGUCGAGCGAAUGGAUUAAGAGCUUGCUCUUAUGAAGUUAGCGGCGGACGGGUGAGUAACACGUGGGUAACCUGCCCAUAAGACUGGGAUAACUCCGGGAAACCGGGGCUAAUACCGGAUAACAUUUUGAACCGCAUGGUUCGAAAUUGAAAGGCGGCUUCGGCUGUCACUUAUGGAUGGACCCGCGUCGCAUUAGCUAGUUGGUGAGGUAACGGCUCACCAAGGCAACGAUGCGUAGCCGACCUGAGAGGAUGAUCGGCCACACUGGGGCUGAAACACGGCCCAGACUCCUACGGGAGCCAGCAGUAGGGAAUCUUCCGCAAUGGACGAAAGUCUGACGGAGCAACGCCGCGUGAGUGAUGAAGGCUUUCGGGUCGUAAAACUCUGUUGUUAGGGAAGAACAAGUGCUAGUUGAAUAAGCUGGCACCUUGACGGUACCUAACCAGAAAGCCACGGCUAACUACGUGCCAGCCGCCGCAGUAA
rnacentral:rRNA from 1 species